CUCGUAGGCGGCCAACUAAGUCAGACGUGAAAUCCCUUGGCUUAACCGGGGAACUGCGUCUGAUACUGGAUGGCUUGAGGUUGGGAGAGGGAUGCGGAAUUCCAGGUGUAGCGGUGAAAUGCGUAGGUAUCUGGAGGAACACCGGUGGCGAAGGCGGCAUCCUGGACCAAUUCUGACGCUGAGGAGCGAAAGCCAGGGGAGCAAAACGG
rnacentral:rRNA from 1 species